rnacentral:rRNA from 1 species
UCUAGCUUGCUAGAUGCUGACGAGUGGCGCACGGGUGCGUAACGCGUAUACAAUCUACCUUUAACUGAGGGAUAGCCCAGAGAAAUUUGGAUUAAUACCUCAUAGUAUUAUAAUUAGGCAUCUUUUUAUAAUUAAAACUUCGGUGGUUAAAGAUGAGUAUGCGUACUAUUAGCUAGUUGGUAAGGUAAAAGCUUACCAAGGCAACGAUAGUUAGGGGGCCUGAAAGGGUGAUCCCCCACACUGGUACUGAGACACGGACCAGACUCCUACGGGAGGCAGCAGUGAGGAAUAUUGCACAAUGGAGGAAACUCUGAUGCAGCCAUGCCGCGUGCAGGAAGAAUGCCCUAUGGGUUGUAAACUGCUUUUAUACAAGAGGAAACCUCGGUACGUGUACCGACUUGACGGUAUUGUAUGAAUAAGCACCGGCUAACUCCGUGCCAGCAGCCGCGGUAAUACGGAGGGUGCAAGCGUUAUCCGGAUUUAUUAGGUUUAAAGGGUCCGCAGGCGGAAUAUUAAGUCAGUGGUGAAAGCCUACAGCUCAACUGUA